CGGUGGAGCAUGUGGUUUAAUUCGAUGCAACGCGAAGAACCUUACCUACUCUUGACAUCCAGAGAACUUUCCAGAGAUGGUUUGGUGCCUUCGGGAACUCUGAGACAGGUGCUGCAUGGCUGUCGUCAGCUCGUGUUGUGAAAUGUUGGGUUAAGUCCCGCAACGAGCGCAACCCUUAUCCUUUGUUGCCAGCGGUCAGGCCGGGAACUCAAAGGAGACUGCCAGUGAUAAACUGGAGGAAGGUGGGGAUGACGUCAAGUCAUCAUGGCCCUUACGAGUAGGGCUACACACGUGCUACAAUGGCGCAUACAAAGAGAAGCGACCUCGCGAGAGCAAGCGGACCUCAUAAAGUGCGUCGUAGUCCGGAUUGGAGUCUGCAACUCGACUCCAUGAAGUCGGAAUCGCUAGUAAUCGUAGAUCAGAAUGCUACGGUGAAUACGUUCCCGGGCCUUGUACACACCGCCCGUCACACCAUGGGAGUGGGUUGCAAAAGAAGUAGGUAGCUUAACCUUCGGGAGGGCGCUUACUCAGCUUUGUUA
rnacentral:rRNA from 1 species